GGUAUUAUUGUCAUUUGAUCUUAUUGAGACAAUAUCUCUUUGAUUUUUUUAAGCUAAAUUUUGUUUGAAAUGAUACUGUUCUAAUUGCCAGUGUUGUAAUGCUUGCUAAUUGCUUUUAGUUGUUGGGUUUUUCUUUUCCUGCUUAGUUGUUGGUAGCUUUUGGAUUAGUGUUUGGGCGUCUCUGGUUCAUUGCUAUGAUAAUACAAGUUUUGGAAUUGUUACCCUUGUGUUCUAUCUAUUAAAUUCGGUGACAGUACUGCAUAUUUACUGAAAUAUCAAAUUUCAGUGAUUGAAUGCCAUGUGGUUGCAAGAAUUUUUUAUGCUGUAGAGGAUCCAAUCAAUUGACUAAACCCAUAUUUUCAAGCACAUCACAUUAAAAUGGCCCUGGUUUCUUUUGCACAAGAUUUAACUUUUUACCAUUUUUGGAAUGACUAGUUGAGGUUUUGCUAUUUAAAGUGCAAGAAUUUCUGUAGAUGUGGUACUUUGAUUUGUUUAACAAAAUAUAUCAUUCUAACUGCAUUUUUCAUGCCUCGCCAUUUUUGGGUGAUGUGUACACUCAUUCAUAAAUAUAUGUUUCUUUGCUAUACUUUGUGCCUCAGAAAUUUUACAUGAUAGGGAGGGAUAAGAGUAGGACAUAUUGGAGAGUGCUAAAGAUUGACCGACAGGACCCAUCUGAGUUAAAUAUUCGUGAAGAUUCUACUACAUAUACAGAGAGUGAAUGUUCUGAUCUGUUGAGGAGAAUACAUGAAGGAAACAAUGCCACUGGUGGGCUAAAGUUUGUCACAACUUGUUAUGGAAUUGUUGGCUUUAUCAAAUUUCUGGGGCCAUACUACAUGCUGCUGAUUACAAAAAGAAGACAGAUUGGUGCAAUAUGUGGUCAUAAUGUUUAUGCAGUCUCCAAAAGCGAGAUGAUUCCACUUCCAAAUUCUUCUGUUCAAUCCAACAUCACUAAUUCUAAUAAUGAGAACAGAUACAAGAAGCUCCUCUGCAUGGUGGACCUGACAAAGGACUUCUUUUUUAGCUACUCAUACCAUGUUAUGCGUAGUCUUCAAAAGAACUUGUGUAAUAAAGAAACAGGACAUGUCCUUUAUGAGACAAUGUUUGUAUGGAAUGAGUUCUUAACCCGUGGAAUACGAAAUCACCUUCAAAAUACAUUAUGGACUGUUGCAUUAGUGUAUGGCUUCUUCAAACAGGCUACAUUUUCUAUAUCCGGACGGGAUUUCAAACUUACCCUUAUUGCAAGACGCUCCCGCCAUUAUGCUGGUACCAGGUACUUGAAACGUGGUGUAAAUGAGAAGGGCAGGGUGGCUAAUGAUGUUGAGACGGAGCAGAUUGUAUUUGAGGAUGUUCCUGAAGGUUUUCCCAUCCAAAUAAGUUCUGUUGUCCAAAACCGUGGUUCUAUCCCACUAUUUUGGUCGCAGGAAACCUCGCGUUUGAAUCUCAAACCAGAUAUUAUAUUGUCAAGGAAGGACCAAAAUUAUGAAGCAACCAGACUACAUUUUGAAAAUCUUGUCAAGAGAUAUGGAAAUCCUAUCAUUAUUUUGAACCUUAUCAAGACGCAGGAGAAGAAGCCUCGAGAGUCAAUUCUUCGUGCAGAGUUUGCUAAUGCCAUCGAUUAUAUUAAUAAAGACUUGUCUGAGGAGAACCGUUUAAGGUUCCUUCACUGGGAUCUACACAAGCAUACUCGAAGCAAAGCAACAAAUGUUCUGUUACUUCUGGGCAAAAUGGCUGCGUAUGCUUUGACAUGGACAAGUUUCUUUUACUGUCAAGUAACCCCAGCCUUGAGAACUGAAGGGUGUACAAAUUGGCCUUCCUUUGUGAAUACUGAGAAUGGCCACCUAUCUCCCCAGAAUACAUGCAGCAAUGAUGGUGAUGAGGAUGCCAAUGAUGUAGAAAGGCCAUUUAGUGGAGGUAAUGGUUUUGCUAAUGGAAAUCAUUCUAUCAAGCCUCCAAUGUUCCAACAAGGUGUGCUCAGGACCAAUUGCAUAGACUGUCUCGAUCGCACAAAUGUUGCACAAUAUGCAUAUGGGUUGGCUGCACUUGGACAGCAACUUCACGCAUUAGGAUUUAUAGACACCCCAAAGAUAGACCUUGGUGCACCUUUAGCUGAUGAAUUGAUGGGAUUUUAUGAAAGGAUGGGUGACACUUUAGCACAUCAAUAUGGUGGGUCAGCUGCACAUAAUAAGAUAUUCUCUCAGAGAAGGGGUCAUUGGAAAGCAGCAAUCCAGUCCCAGGAGUUCUUCAGAACUCUUCAACGCUAUUACAGCAAUGCAUACAUGGAUGCGGAGAAACAAGAUGCAAUUAAUGUAUUCUUGGGGCACUUCCAGCCACAACUGGGUAAACCUGCACUCUGGGAAUUGAAUUCAGACCAGCUUUACAGUGUGGGAAGGAAUGGGCAAACAUAUGUGGAUCAAGAUAGAAGGUCAUUUUUCAAAAGGUCCUUGUCAGAUGGAAAUAUUCUUCAUGAAAGCCGCUCACCUAUGUCACCCAAGAAUGUCAAGGAGGAGAAAAUUUCUGGUUCAGCUUUGCCAAAUCAAUGGGAAGGGGAAAGCAAUGUCCUUUCGGAGUCAUCCCCUGAGAUAUCUACAUGUGAAAGUGAUAUAGCAUUUUCAAGGUACACUCCUUCAAUGCCUCGCAGACAUCUCUUUGGGGAUGUGGAAAGAGAGCUGUACCUGGGAAGUGAUCAUAUUUACUUCUCUGAAGAUACGUUUAAUUGUUCAAACUUUGUUGACUUGGACUGGUUGUCUUCCUCGGGAAAUUCAUGCGAAGAAGAGCCAUUUGAGAGGUCAUCAGUGCUUACAAUCUCACCAAUUGCGGGGAUGUCAUCAGAAAAUGUUGUCAAUGGAAUAAUGAGUGAAAUGACCCCAUCCACUAGUGAAUAUGGAUCCAGCAUGAAGGUAAGGCAGGAGACAGAAAUGGAGUUAUCCUAUGGAAAUUCACAGAAUUCCGAUGUCCUCGAGGAAUUCUCAGAUAGCUUUGUGCAAUGGGUAAACUGUGGAGAGACACUCUGCCAUUGAAGUUUAGCUCUCUUUGCCCCUGAAUUAAUUUAUUAUUUCCCUCAAGCGACUCAAACAUGCUCUAAAGAUGCUGAUCUAUUAAUAUAGAGAGGUUACUAAGGAUAGCUAGACCAAGGGGAGAUGGCCAGACUGAAGGGAUAAAAGAGGCAGAUGAAUUGGGAACCCUUGAAAAUGCAUCCAGGAAGAAAUCCUUGUGUGACUGACAGCAUUGAUUGCAUCGUCGAAACCUCGAUGGUUUCUGAUACCAAAGUAUAAAGAGUAAAUAGCCAACAGUUUAAAAACAAAAUUCUUUUUGGAGCUCCUCCUUUUCUCAUUCCUUCUACUAGUACAUGGGCUUCCUAUGUUUGAAUCUUGUAAAUAUAUUUCGCUGCUCUUUGAGCUCCACUUUUAGAUGAAUUUCAGGUUAUUGAUUCUUUAUGAAUUCCAUUCAUGUUUAUCUGUGGUCAUCUCAGGUGUGAUACCAACAAUUAACUGUUUGGAGGAAAGAUCUGCAACUAUAGGACUCAUAUUAAGCUUACCAGUCAAAUUUCUACGAGAUUAGUUGCAUGUUUGGGAUGCGAGUAUGAUGAUGAUGGCAUUCUUUUUAAAAUUUUGGAAAACCCAAUCCUGUAAUUUUCGUUUAAAGCUGUUUAUUAUUUAAUAAAAGCCAGAGCUCGAAAUACUUCUCUUUC
rnacentral:misc_RNA from 1 species